rnacentral:tRNA from 1 species
AGAGCUCUAUGUUAUAUAAACACUAAGGCUUCAAACCUUAAAAAGAAAAUACACCUUUUCGAGCUCUA